UACGUAGGGUGCGAGCGUUAAUCGGAAUUACUGGGCGUAAAGCGUGCGCAGGCGGUUUUGCAAGCCGGAUGUGAAAUCCCCGGGCUCAACCUGGGAAUGGCAUUCGGGACUGCAAGGCUGGAGUGCGGCAGAGGAGACUGGAAUUCCUGGUGUAGCAGUGAAAUGCGUAGAUAUCAGGAGGAAUACCGAUGGCGAAGGCAGAUCUCUGGGCCGUAACUGACGCUGAGGAGCGAAAGCAUGGGGAGCGAACAGG
rnacentral:rRNA from 1 species